rnacentral:tRNA from 1 species
CCUUCGAUAGCUCAGCUGGUAGAGCGGAGGACUGUAGAGACUCAUGGCCAUCCUUAGGUCGCUGGUUCAAUUCCGGCUCGAAGGA